GGGGAAUAUUGCACAAUGGGCGAAAGCCUGAUGCAACAACGCCGCGUGAGUGAUGAAGGUCUUCGGAUUGUAAAGCUCUGUCUUUGGGGACGAUAAUGACGGUACCCAAGGAGGAAGCCACGGCUAACUACGUGCCAGCAGCCGCGGUAAUACGUAGGUGGCGAGCGUUGUCCGGAUUUACUGGGCGUAAAGGAUGCGUAGGCGGAUGUUUAAGUGAGAUGUGAAAUUCCCGAGCUUAACUUGGGAGCUGCAUUUCAAACUGGAUAUCUAGAGUGCAGGAGAGGAGAAUGGAAUUCCUAGUGUAGCGGUGAAAUGCGUAGAGAUUAGGAGAACACCAGUGGCGAAGGCGAUUCUCUGGACUGUAACUGACGCUGAGGCGCGAAAGCGUGGGGAGCAAAC
rnacentral:rRNA from 1 species